rnacentral:rRNA from 1 species
AGGCCUACACAUGCAAGUCGAGCGGAAACGAAGAGGUGCUUGCACCUCUGGCGUCGAGCGGCGGACGGGUGAGUAAUGCUUGGGAACAUGCCUUGAGGUGGGGGACAACCGUUGGAAACGACGGCUAAUACCGCAUAAUGUCUACGGACCAAAGGGGGCUUCGGCUCUCGCCUUUAGAUUGGCCCAAGUGGGAUUAGCUAGUUGGUGAGGUAAUGGCUCACCAAGGCGACGAUCCCUAGCUGGUUUGAGAGGAUGAUCAGCCACACUGGGACUGAGACACGGCCCAGACUCCUACGGGAGGCAGCAGUGGGGAAUAUUGCACAAUGGGCGCAAGCCUGAUGCAGCCAUGCCGCGUGUGUGAAGAAGGCCUUCGGGUUGUAAAGCACUUUCAGCAAGGAGGAAAGGGUGUAAGUUAAUACCCUUACAUCUGUGACGUUACUUGCAAAAGAACCACCGGCU